rnacentral:rRNA from 1 species
AUUGAACGCUGGCGGCAGGCCUAACACAUGCAAGUCGAGCGGAUGAAGGGAGCUUGCUCCUGGAUUCAGCGGCGGACGGGUGAGUAAUGCCUAGGAAUCUGCCUGGUAGUGGGGGAUAACGUCCGGAAACGGGCGCUAAUACCGCAUACGUCCUGAGGGAGAAAGUGGGGGAUCUUCGGACCUCACGCUAUCAGAUGAGCCUAGGUCGGAUUAGCUAGUUGGUGGGGUAAAGGCCUACCAAGGCGACGAUCCGUAACUGGUCUGAGAGGAUGAUCAGUCACACGGGAACUGGGACCCGGUCCAGCCCCCUACGGGAGGCAGCAGUGGGGAAUUUUGGACAAUGGGCGAAAGCCUGAUCCCGCCAUGCCGGGGGUGUGAAGAAGGUUUUCGGUUUGUAAAGCACUUUAAGUUGGGAGGAAGGGCAUUAAGUUAAAACCUUGCUGUUUUGACGUUACCAACAAAAUAAGCACCGGCUAACUUCGU